rnacentral:rRNA from 1 species
UGGGGAAUAUUGGACAAUGGGCGCAAGCCUGAUCCAGCCAUGCCGCGUGUGUGAAGAGGGCCUUCGGGUUGUAAAGCACUUUUGUCCGGAAAGAAAUCCUGUCGGUUAAUACCCGGCGGGGAUGACGGUACCGGAAGAAUAAGCACCGGCUAACUUCGUGCCAGCAGCCGCGGUAAUACGAAGGGUGCAAGCGUUACUCGGAAUUACUGGGCGUAAAGCGUGCGUAGGUGGUCUGUUAAGUCUGAUGUGAAAGCCCUGGGCUCAACCUGGGAACUGCAUUGGAUACUGGCAGUCUGGAGUGCGGUAGAGGGUAGCGGAAUUCCCGGUGUAGCAGUGAAAUGCGUAGAUAUCGGGAGGAACAUCCGUGGCGAAGGCGGCUACCUGGACCAGCACUGACACUGAGGCACGAAAGCGUGGGGAGCAAACAGGAUUAGAUACCCUGGGUAGUCCACGCCCUAAACGAUGCGAACUGGAUGUUGGGAGCAACUAGGCUCUCAGUAUCGAAGCUAACGCGUUAAGUUCGCCGCCUGGGAAGUACGGUCGCAAGACUGAAACUCAAAUGAAUUGAC